AAUUAAAAUAUUUUGCUCAUUGCAGAAACCAAGCCUAAAAGAGAGAGAGAGAGAGCAAAGAUUUAAUUUUAAUUAGGUUGCUUAAUACUCUAUUUAAAUACCUGAUAACAUUACAAUAUAAAUAUGUGGAUCUGUCUUUGUUUUUAUUUGUUAGGCUGCUGUCUCUUUAAUGUCAAUCUUACAACUCCUUUUGAUUCAUAAGAAAGACAAAUUGUUUUAGCUUUAGCAUAAAACAAAAAUAUCUUUUUUAAUCUUUUCAUUUAAAAAAGUAAAUAACAUAGCAUCAUGAAAAGAAAAUUAAUGAAAAAUUAAAAGUAAGCUGUAGUUUUUAUCUUCCUUAUGAUUUAGUUUUCUCCUUGAAUAGCAUACCACAACUCCUUGCUUUCAUUUAAGAUUUCAGUAUUUUAAAAUAUCACUAUAAACUUAUGCUUAAAACAAAAGUGUGUCAAAAUAACUCUUUUAUUAGUGCCAUUGAUAAAAGUAAUCAAGGACCGUUACUCCUGACUGAUAAAAAUGAAAUUUGUCAUUAUCAAAACUGACCUCCUUUUUGUCAUUAGUUGCAACAUAUAUAAAAAAUCAAAAUGCAUCAUAGUUAAAAGAUUCUCAGCUUAUUGCAAUGGAAAUGACUUAAAAUGACUUUUUCAAAUCAAUCAGGGACCAUAACUCCAGAAUAGCAAAGUGGCAAGUCAUCAAUAACCACCUUGACCUCUAUUGUGUUAUCAGUAACAAAAUAUUAAUAUUUGAAAUAAAACAUUGGUUAAUCAGAUCUCAAGUUAUUGCACAAAGACAACACUGGACGGAAGUGGUAUUUUCAAAUCAAUCAAGGACUGCAAAAGUGACCACCAUUAUUAUGAAAGGUGAUCCCCAUUUUGUUAUCAGUAGCAACAUAAAAUACUUGUAAAGCUCAAUGUAAGGUAAACAAGUCAUUGCACAGAAAUAGAUUAACCUGAGAACCCACAUGCCCUCCCUUUAUACAACCACUAAUACAUUACAAGGUUCCAAUGAAAAGCAUGUCAAAAAAUAAAUGUGAACCAGAUGCUCCGCAGGGCGCAGCUUUAUACGACCGCAGAGGUUUAACCCUGAACGGUUGGGGCCUUUGGACCUUAAUGUAGACCAAUUAGAAAACGGGAUCAAAAAUUAAGAAUCUACAUACACAGUUAGAUUAAGCAUAUCAAAGAACCCCAAUUUAUUCAAUUUUUGAUGAAAUCAAACAAGUUCAUUUUGGACCUUUGGGCCCUUAUUCCUAAACUGUUGGGACCAAAACUCCCAAAAUCAAUACCAACCUUCCUUUUAUGGUCAUAAACCUUGUGUAUAAAUUUCAAUGAUUUCUAUUUACUUAUACUAAAGUUAUUGUGCGAAAACCAAGAAUAAUGCUUAUUUGGGCCCUUUUUGCCCCUAAUUCCUAACUGUUGGAACCAAAACUCCCAAAAUCAAUCCGAACCUUCCUUUUGUGGUCAUGAACCUUGUGUCAAAAUUUCAUAGAUUUCUAUUCACUUAAACUAAAGUUAUAGUGCGAAAACCAAGAAAAUGCUUAUUUGGGCCCUUUUUGGCCCCUAAUUCCUAACAUGUUUGGACCAAAACUCCCAAAAUCAAUCCAAACCUUCCUUUUGUGGUCAUAAACCUUGUGUCAAAAUUUCAUCGAUUUCUAUUCAAUUUUACUAAAGUUAGAGUGUGAAAACUAAAAGUAUUCGGACGACGACGACGACAACGCCAACGUGAUAGCAAUAUACGACGAAAAAUUACAAUUUUUGCGGUCGUAUAAAAAUAAUAAAGACCUGUGCAAUGAGUGCAUGAUAGGCCUGUCACUUUCUCUUCAAUGAAUAAACUUCCAUUACUCAUUAAUGUGAUAAUAAAAAUUUAUAAAACACUCAAUAAAGCUUAUUUUAAUAAAUAUAAAGCAGUUACCAAAUUUUAAGGGAAAAAGCUUUUUUGUAUUAUUGUCCAAAA
rnacentral:lncRNA from 1 species